CCCUUAACUCUGGGAUAAGCCUGGGAAACUGGGUCUAAUACCGGAUAUGACUCCUCAUCGCAUGGUGGGGGGUGGAAAGCUUUAUUGUGGUUUUGGAUGGACUCGCGGCCUAUCAGCUUGUUGGUGAGGUAAUGGCUCACCAAGGCGACGACGGGUAGCCGGCCUGAGAGGGUGACCGGCCACACUGGGACUGAGACACGGCCCAGACUCCUACGGGAGGCAGCAGUGGGGAAUAUUGCACAAUGGGCGAAAGCCUGAUGCAGCGACGCCGCGUGAGGGAUGACGGCCUUCGGGUUGUAAACCUCUUUCAGUAGGGAAGAAGCGAAAGUGACGGUACCUGCAGAAGAAGCGCCGGCUAACUACGUGCCAGCAGCCGCGGUAAUACGUAGGGCGCAAGCGUUAUCCGGAAUUAUUGGGCGUAAAGAGCUCGUAGGCGGUUUGUCGCGUCUGCCGUGAAAGUCCGGGGCUCAACUCCGGAUCUGCGGUGGGUACGGGCAGACUAGAGUGAUGUAGGGGAGACUGGAAUUCCUGGUGUAGCGGUGAAAUGCGCAGAUAUCAGGAGGAACACCGAUGGCGAAGGCAGGUCUCUGGGCAUUAACUGACGC
rnacentral:rRNA from 1 species